rnacentral:rRNA from 1 species
CCUACGGGUGGCAGCAGUGAGGAAUAUUGGUCAAUGGGCGCGAGCCUGAACCAGCCAAGUAGCGUGAAGGAUGACUGCCCUACGGGUUGUAAACUUCUUUUAUAAAGGAAUAAAGUGAGGCACGUGUGCCUUUUUGUAUGUACUUUAUGAAUAAGGAUCGGCUAACUCCGUGCCAGCAGCCGCGGUAAUACGGAGGAUGCGAGCGUUAUCCGGCUUUAUUGGGUUUAAAGGGUGCGUAGGCGGACUGUUAAGUCAGCGGUAAAAGCCCGGGGCUCAACCCCGGCGAGCCGUUGAAACUGGCAGUCUUGAGUACAGUUGAGGUAGGCGGAAUUCGUGGUGUAGCGGUGAAAUGCUUAGAUAUCACGAAGAACUCCGAUUGCGAAGGCAGCUUACUAAACUGCCACUGACAUUGAUGCUCGAAAGUGUGGGUAUCAAACAGGAUUAGAUACCCCGGUAGUC